rnacentral:rRNA from 1 species
UUGAACGCUGGCGGCAUGCCUUACACAUGCAAGUCGAACGGCAGCACGGGUGCUUGCACCUGGUGGCGAGUGGCGAACGGGUGAGUAAUAUAUCGGAACGUACCUUAUCGUGGGGGAUAACGCAGCGAAAGCUGCGCUAAUACCGCAUACGCCCUGAGGGGGAAAGCGGGGGACCGUAAGGCCUCGCGCGAUUAGAGCGGCCGAUAUCUGAUUAGCUUGUUGGUGGGGUAAAAAGCCCACCAAGGCGACGAUCAGUAGCUGGUCUGAGAGGACGAUCAGCCACACUGGGACUGAGACACGGCCCAGACUCCUACGGGAGGCAGCAGUGGGGAAUUUUGGACAAUGGGGGCAACCCUGAUCCAGCAAUGCCGCGUGAGUGAAGAAGGCCUUCGGGUUGUAAAGCUCUUUUGUCAGGGAAGAAACAGCAGCUCUAACACAGUCUGCGAAUGACGGUACCUGAAGAAUAAGCACCGGCUAACUACGUG